UACGCCCGAUCUCGUCCGAUCUCGGAAGCAAAGCAGGGUCGGGCCUGAUUAGUACUUUGAUGGGAGACUGCCUGGGAAUAACAGGUGCUGGAAGCUUGCUUACGGCCAUACCAGCCUG
rnacentral:rRNA from 1 species